rnacentral:rRNA from 1 species
AACGAACGCUGGCGGCAGGCUUAACACAUGCAAGUCGAACGCUCGUAGCAAUACGGGAGUGGCGGACGGGUGAGUAACGCGUGGGAACGUGCCCUGAGGUACGGAAUAACUGCGGGAAACUGCAGCUAAUACCGUAUGAGCCCCGCAAGGGGGAAAGAUUUAUCGCCUUGGGAGCGGCCCGCGUCGGAUUAGCUAGUUGGUGGGGUAACGGCCUACCAAGGCUUCGAUCCGUAGCUGGUCUGAGAGGACGAUCAGCCACACUGGGACUGAGACACGGCCCAGACUCCUACGGGAGGCAGCAGUGGGGAAUCUUGCGCAAUGGGGGCAACCCUGACGCAGCCAUGCCGCGUGAAUGAUGAAGGCCUUAGGGUUGUAAAGUUCUUUUGCCCGUGACGAUGAUGACGGUAACGGGAGAAUAAGCUCCGGCUAACUUCGUGCCAGCAGCCGCGGUAAGGAUGAGACGU